AUUCUUCGUGCUCUGUCUCUCUCAAAAAUAAAUAAACGUUAAAAAAAAUUUUUUUUUAUAACUAUGCAUGACUCUUCUAAGAAAACAGAAUGAACACGUGACAAAUGUCUUUUUAACUCAUGAAUGAGAGAAACACCAAGACAGUAAAAGAGCAUUUGAGGAACUGAGUAUUUACAGUCAAUGAAGAAAGAAUUGGGGAAUAAAGUUACUAGGUUGGAAUCAAAACUGGUUAAUGUCCGCCAGGGCGAUAAAACCAUGAUCUUUAGGGUUAUCAUUUCUACCAGACAGAAAUCAUUUACUUCUCCUCUGGACAGAGAUCUGUAAAUUACAUGUAAUCCCAGAGAAUUAAAUAGUCCCUGGGUGGGUCUGUUAGGCUGUGCUCAGUGUGCUAUUGAAAGGACAUGCAAUCUUCCUUUUGCCUUAUUUAUAGAUGUUGGAUACUUUUUCUUAACAUAAGAUACAAAUUUACAUAUUGGCAGCUGUGGCUUUCCAUUUUCCAAAUGCAGUUUGCUCAUAAUAUUAAUCUGCUUUUCACCAUCUUUUGUGUCUGUUUUCAAUCAAGAAGGAAAAUUACCAACAAGGAACUCCAGAAUUGCAGUAAUGUUCCAUUGUAAAAACCAAUGUUAAUAUUGGUUUGGUACUCACCUUGAUGGACACUAAAACAAUUUACCAGCGAUUUAAAUUUUGUAGCAGGCAAAAAACAAAAAAACAAAAAAAAUUCUCAUGUCUGCUUUGAGUUGAUGCUAGCAACAAAAAUCAGUUGAUAACUAACUGCAGUUUCGAAUGUUUACAUGGAUUUUGGAACAUCAUUUUGAGCAAGUUACUGAAUUUCUCAGCCCCAGCUUCACCCUUUAUGAAAAACAAGACCUCCUUCAUUGUGUUGUUGCACGUGAGAUUAUAUGCUGACAGACACACAAACCUGGGAGGACACUGCUGUGCUCUGAGUUCACUCUGUUUAUGCGUAUUCUCAGGUCAGAAUUUCUUUGUGGGCUUCCCUUUUGGGUUUCUUUUAUCAUUUGUCUUUUGCUACAUAUUUUAUCAUUUGCCUUUUGGAUGUGUCCUUUCAUCUGCUUGUGGUUUUAAAAGAUACAAACUGUGUUUUUAAAUCUUACCAAUUGCUUUGCUUCUCAAAAAAACACAAUUGUAUUUCUCAUCUUCUUUCCUUUUGUAAAGAAUGUAAUGGCGUUUGUUUGUUUUUAAGCCCUCUGACAUCAGAUGUGAAAUUCAACAAAUCUCUCUGUCUCUGACCAAAUGCCAUUUUAACUGGAAUCCCUUUCCCAUAAUUUAUUGUCACAUUUUUGAGAAGUAUGGAAAACACCAAAACAUGAAUUCAUCUAGAAGCUGUUAUAAUAACACACUUAGCUCAUGUAGCGACUGUUGGCUUUUCACUAGGGUCUUGAAACGUUAUACCAUGUGUUUGUCAGCACUUUUUAAAAAUAACAACCUGUUCACUCAAACACGGUAAAUGUGCUGCAGAAGUGAAAUUCCGAUGUCAGCUUCGGGCAGAGCCACAGCCUCCUGUGUACUCAGUUGGCAUUGUGCUACUUAGGGGAUGAGACGAUCCUUCAGGACUCCCCAUCUGUUUUGUGUGUAAGCUCUUAGGUACUGUUUAGCCCUUCAUUUGCCCAAAAGUGUUUUUCUGUUAUAACUUCAGUAAGUGCAGUUUACAAGAGGACCAUGAAACCCAAAAAUGCUGAAAACUUGCUUUUAAAAGCGGGACAGAAACUGAAUAUAUUAAAAAAAAAAAACAACAUUGAAUUGUACACUUUAAGGGGGUGAAUUGUAUGCUAUGUGAGUUAUGUCUCAAUAAAGCUUUUUUUUUAAUAGUGCAGGAAGAAAAAAAUGAGUAUAAAUCAACAUUCAUGACAUAACACUUGAUGUAAUUGUUGUAAAUGUAAUUAUGUGAUUUCAAAUUCCUAUUACUUAUAUAAACUUGUCUUCAUUGCUCAAUUAAUAUAUUUUUCUACCUGUGAAAACUAUUUGGGUAUCUUGGGCUAAAAUGGAAUUCAUAAUUUUUCCAGUUAAACUUAAUGGAAUGGAUUUUUUUUUUUAUAAUAGCUUUUCAACUAGAAACAUUUUCAGGGACAAAUAAACGCUGUUAAGCAAGAAAGAGGCUUAAUUAAUUACUUGAAACUGAGUUAAAAUUUUAAGGGGGAUUAGACUUGGUACUGAGAUGAAGAUCAGUGUAAAUGCCAAAUUGAUUUGCCCUGAAGGCAGGUUGACAUCUAUCACACCCACUGAGAAGAGACUUAAGACCUGGACGGUGACAGGGGGCCAAGAUUUAUGUUGAGUGGGGGAAGGGUAGAGAGGCCAGUGAAAGAAGGAAACACCAGAGAAGAGCCAGGAGAGGGCAAAGAGAUAAUGAUUAAAAGCUGACCUGGAAAUUUAGUUUGCUGUUCCACUGGCAGGCUGUAGUUUGUUGUCGGAAAGUUAAGUCCUCAGGCUUCAUUCAGUUCUGGAUUUCAGCAAAAAUAAAUAGUUCCCGGCUUUCAACUGGUGGAAGAGUUAUUUUCUAAGCUCAAAAAUAUUGUUUAUGAACUACAAGCUGGGCAAUUACUUCUUCUGCUUCACGAGACCUCUUGAACUCGAAACAACCCUUUAAGGCCGAUCCGGUGCUUGCCUCUGGGCCGGCCGGAGAACUAACAGCACAUCUUCCUCGAAAGCCACCGGGCAAAUGCCCUGGCCUUUCUCCUCCCGAGGGUCACUGCCACCCCAAAACGGUUUUUCCCACGGCAACAGUGAAACGGUGUGGGCGAUCCCAAGAUGGAGGAUAUGUAUCUUUGAAAGUCAAACCUCAACAAUAAAAACAAACAAAAAACGUAGAGGAGAUACGGCAUUGUCUUGUCUCCCCCUUCUUGCCCAUUCUAGACAGCUUUAUCAGCCUGUUUAUUGACAGCACCCAAAUAAAUCAGAUUUUUUUUAAGCCUUAUGUUUAUGAAGUGCUUUUCUCAGUUCCUCACCUCUCUAUCCACUCCCUUCCAAUUCCUAAUUCAUUACACAGAGUCUGAAGAGUACUUGGCUUGUAGUGAAUAGUCAAUAAAUGUUGAUGACGAUAACUCCUGUCAUUAUCCAGAGACAGAAGACUUACGUAUUUAAAUAUCAACCUAUCUUAUCAAUGAUUUCUGGAGAAAAUCUAGACUGGUUUCAAAUUGUUCGCAUGUAGAACAUGUUUGGUUUUAAGUCCCAAUGUGGCAUCUCUUUAGCUUAGCUGUAUAAAAAAGCUUUGCUCACCAGGUGAAUGCCACGGGGAAAAAAUGGCAGGGAACUAUUCUAGAUUAGAAGAACUCAAAGAGAUACAACAACAAAAGGCAACGUAACUUGAUUCAUUCCAGGUCCAGAAAUAAAAAGCUACGUGAGACACGGUGGAAGCAAUCAGGGAAAUUCGAACAUGGGCUGGGUAUGGACGAUAUUAUAGAAUUAUUAAUUUUAUGAGGUACUAUAAUGGUAUUGCAGCUGCAGUGGAGGAUGUCUCGACUCUUAGAAGCUGCAGACUGAAACAUUUAGGGGUAAAGUAUUGGGAUAUCUGCAACUUCUUUUCAAAUGGUUCAGCAAAAUUUAUAUAUUUAAAUACAGAGAGAAAGCAAAUGUGGUCCAAUGGUAACAACUAGCGAAUCCAAGUGAAGAGUUUAUAGAUGUUCGUUGUAUUGUACUUCAACUUUUCUGUAGAUGCCAAAUUUUUUAAAUACAAAGUUGAGAAUAGAAAACAACAAAAAAUAUAGUUUUACUGAAGAAAAUGCCACACUCUUCUUUAAAUAUUUUACUGUAAUAACACACUAUACCUUGGUAUUAUUUAUUUACACUUUAUAAAAAGCAACUUAUUCAACAUAGUUACUCAAUCUGAAAUUAACUACUUUAAAUACAUCACUUAACUUUCGGUGCUAAUAAUGAAUCUCUACCUUAAAUAUAAAUCGAAAUAGCUCAACACCUAACUUGACAUUACAAGCAACGAGAUGCCAGGUAUAAGGAUCAUGAGUUAAUAUUUCAAUUAUGCUAAAACUUUCAAUAAUUUUUUUCAUUAAUUCUUCUUUGUUUUUCUUCUUUGUCUAGAAUAGUCUGUUUUAAGCUCAAGGUAGCAUCUUGGAAUCCAGGAUUUAAGUCUAAUACCUUCUUGAAAUCUUCCAAAGCAUCAUCAAAGUAUCCUGUACCAGAACGCAAAAAAUGAAAAAGAGUAAUAAAACUGAGUAUUUCUAUACAUUAUUCAUAGCAGAGUUCAGAGAACACACACUUUGGCUUUUAUAUUUACGAGCUUUCAACCACUCCUAGUAAAGGAUUGUUUUUCUCUUAGUAAUGACAUACACAUGUGUAUAUCAAAGUAAUUUUGCAUGCCCUUACGCCAUCAUUAAAAUUAAAAUUUUAAAUUCAAUUUAAAUUAACACUUAAAAUUAGCUCUGGGUUUAUUUAUUUAUAGCAUAAAUCAUCAUAAAAUCUCAACAACAUCCUAACACCGAUUUUACACAAUGACAGUAAAAUUAAAAACAGGAAAUUCGUAUUCUUUUUAACACUUUAAAAGAGAAACAGUACCUACAGUCCCAUUAAUGCAAGGAUCUAAAACCCUUUCACUUUAUAUUGUCUCAGGUGCCUUUAAAGACUUUAACUCAGAGGCUCAGUCGAUUGAGUGUCACCUCAGGUCAUGAUCUCGCAGUUCACCAGUUCGAGCCCCACAUCGGGCUCUGCUGUCCGUGGCGCACAGCCUGCUUUGGAUCCUCUGUCCCCUCCUCUCUGCCCCUGCGUCACUUGCACUCUCUCUCUCUCUCUCUGUCUCUCUC